AUUGAACGCUGGCGGCAUGCCUUACACAUGCAAGUCGAACGGCAGCACGGGUGCUUGCACCUGGUGGCGAGUGGCGAACGGGUGAGUAAUAUAUCGGAACGUACCUUAUUGUGGGGGAUAACGCAGCGAAAGCUGUGCUAAUACCGCAUAAUCCCUAAGGGGGAAAGCGGGGGACCGUAAGGCCUCGCGCAAUUAGAGCGGCCGAUACCUGAUUAGCUAAUUGGUGAGGUCAAGGCUCACCAAGGCAACGAUCAGUAACUGGUCUGAGAGGACGAUCAGGCACACUGGGACUGAGGCACGGCCCAGACUCGUACGGGAGGCAGCAGUGGGGAAUUUUGGACAAUGGGGGCAACCCUGAUCCAGCAAUGCCGCGUGAGUGAAGAAGGCCUUCGGGUUGUAAAGCUCUUUUGUCAGGGAAGAAACAGCAGCUCUAACACAGUUUGCGAAUGACGGUACCUGAAGAAUAAGCACCGGCUAACUACGUGCCAGCCGCCGCGGUAA
rnacentral:rRNA from 1 species